rnacentral:rRNA from 1 species
UACGUAGGGUGCGAGCGUUGUCCGGAUUUAUUGGGCGUAAAGAGCUUGUAGGCGGCUCGUCACGUCGGGUGUGAAAACUCGCGGCUCAACCGCGAGCCUGCACCCGAUACGGGCGGGCUGGAGUUCGGCAGGGGAGACUGGAAUUCCUGGUGUAGCGGUGGAAUGCGCAGAUAUCAGGAGGAACACCGGUGGCGAAGGCGGGUCUCUGGGCCGAUACUGACGCUGAGAAGCGAAAGCGUGGGGAGCGAACAGG